UACGAAGGGGGGCUAGCGUUGUUCGGAUUUACUGGGCGUAAAGCGCACGUAGGCGGAUCGAUCAGUCAGGGGUGAAAUCCCAGGGCUCAACCCUGGAACUGCCUUUGAUACUGUCGAUCUGGAGUAUGGAAGAGGUGAGUGGAAUUCCGAGUGUAGAGGUGAAAUUCGUAGAUAUUCGGAGGAACACCAGUGGCGAAGGCGGCUCACUGGUCCAUUACUGACGCUGAGGUGCGAAAGCGUGGGGGAGCAAACAGG
rnacentral:rRNA from 1 species